rnacentral:rRNA from 1 species
GACGAACGCUGGCGGCGUGCUUAACACAUGCAAGUCGAACGGAAAGGCCCUGCUUUUGUGGGGUGCUCGAGUGGCGAACGGGUGAGUAACACGUGAGUAACCUGCCCUUGACUUUGGGAUAACUUCAGGAAACUGGGGCUAAUACCGGAUAGGAGCUCCUGCUGCAUGGUGGGGGUUGGAAAGUUUCGGCGGUUGGGGAUGGACUCGCGGCUUAUCAGCUUGUUGGUGAGGUAGGGGCUUACCAAGGCUUUGACGGGUAGCCGGCCUUAGAGGGUGACCGGCCACAUUGGGCCUGCGAUACGGCCCAGACUCCUACGGGCGGCAGCAGUGGGGAAUAUUGCACAAUGGGCGGAAGCCUGAUGCAGCAACGCCGCGUGCGGGAUGACGGCCUUCGGGUUGUAAACCGCUUUCGCCUGUGCCGAAGCGUGAGUGACGGUAAUGGGUAAAGAAGCACCGGCUAACUACGUG